rnacentral:snoRNA from 1 species
GAAUAUGACGAUAAAAAUGCUGUGCACCAGUCUGAAAGGGACAAAUGUACUCUGUCCCAGUGAAGCAUUAAGUAUACCCAAAUUUCUGAUU